AGAGACGAGUCAGAGUUUGAUCCUGGCUCAGGACGAACGCUGGCGGCGUGCCUAAUACAUGCAAGUCGAACGAGAGCACCGGUGCUUGCACUGGUCAAUCUAGUGGCGAACGGGUGAGUAACACGUGGGUAACCUGCCCAUCAGAGGGGGAUAACAUUCGGAAACGGAUGCUAAAACCGCAUAGGUCUUCGAACCGCAUGGUUUGAAGAGGAAAAGAGGCGCAAGCUUCUGCUGAUGGAUGGACCCGCGGUGCAUUAGCUAGUUGGUGAGGUAACGGCUCACCAAGGCCGUGAUGCAUAGCCGACCUGAGAGGGUGAUCGGCCACAUUGGGACUGAGACACGGCCCAA
rnacentral:rRNA from 1 species